rnacentral:rRNA from 1 species
UACGAAGGGGGCUAGCGUUGCUCGGAAUCACUGGGCGUAAAGCGCACGUAGGCGGCUUGUUAAGUCAGGGGUGAAAUCCUGGAGCUCAACUCCAGAACUGCCUUUGAUACUGGAGAUCUUGAGUUCGGGAGAGGUGAGUGGAACUGCGAGUGUAGAGGUGAAAUUCGUAGAUAUUCGCAAGAACACCAGUGGCGAAGGCGGCUCACUGGCCCGAUACUGACGCUGAGGCACGAAAGCGUGGGGAGCAAACAGG